UUGGAUGGAAGUACUAUUCAACCAUAUGUUUAAACACAUUCUGACCGCACAACUGUCACAUUUUCUUUUCCCUUGGUGGGUCGGCGUGGAUGUUGGUACUCUCUGUGUUUUUUUUGCUGUAAUAUUAUAAUUGCUUGAAUAUGACCAUAAGCCAUGUUAAAGUCAAUAUCAAUAGCAAAUUGUUUAAAUAUUUAUACAUAUUUGUUUAUAUUAUUUUAUUUGAUCUGAAGGUGACGAAAUGCUAACAAGUGAACAAAAUAUAAAGCGCGUGAUAUAAAAAAGAAACAUUUUUUGAGAACAAAAACUCAAACUUUUGUCAAGGUGUAAGAUCCGCUAAGUGCUACGGUUUGUUACUUAUCACUAGGCUUUGAAGAAAAGUAGUAAUGUGAAUAUCAAGAUGCAGUGAUAUCAUUGUAAAACUGACUACUAUAUAUAGAUUUAUUACAUUCCGUUGUUCUACGGUGUAAUUUAAGGCACACCUUUGGCAUAUAAUGUUUAUCCCUUUCAGACCGUGAUGUAUCAAUUGUGCCGUCAAGUUUCAAUGUCAAGAUCUCUACUAUUUAUGCACGUAUGUUAAAAAGGCCGAAAUGCAUCGACUGUGCUGAUUAUUGUGUACCUUUUGUUUUUGCACUGAAAUUGAAACACAAAAAUUUAGAUGGCGAAUAUGUUUUUAUCUAUACUAA